AGGGAGGAAGGAAGGAAAGGAGGGAAGGAAAGGAGGGAAGGAAAGGAGGGAGGGAGGAAAGUGGAAAAGUGAUUACGAAACAAGAUGAGAAAGAAAGAAAGAGAAAGAAAGAAAGAGAAAGAAAGAAAGACUAGUGAUUAUGAAAGAGAAGAUGGAGAAAGGAAGGAAGGAAGGAAAGGAGAGAGGGAAGGAAGGAAGGUGGAAAAGUGAUUAUGAAACAAAAGAUAAGAAAGAGAGAGAGAGAGGAAAGAAAGAAAGAAAAGGAGGGAAGGAAGAAAGGAAAGUGGAAAAGUGAUUACGAAACAAGAUGAGAAGAAAGAAAGAAAGAAAGAAAGAAAGAAAGACUAGUGAUUAUGAAAGAAAAGAUGGAGGAAGGAAGGAAAGGAGAGAGGGAAGGAAGGAAGAAAGGAAAGUGGAAAAGUGAUUAUGAAACAGAAGAUGGGAAAGAAAGAAAGAAAGAAAGAAAGAAAGAAAGAAAGAAAGAAAGACAGACUAGUGAUUAUGAAAGAGAAGAUGGAGAAAGGAAGGAAGGAAGGAAAGGAGGGAGAGAGGGAGGGAAGGAAGGAAAGUGAUUAUGAAGCAAAAGAUAAGAAAGAAAGAAAGAAAGAAAGAAAGAAAGAAAGAAAGAAAAGGAGGGAGAGAGGGAGGGAAGGAAGGAAGGAAAGUGGAAAAGUGAUUAUGAAGCAAAAGAUAAGAAAGAAAGAAAGAAAGAAAGAAAGAAAGAAAGAAAGAAAAGGAGGGAGAGAAGGAAGGAAGGAAGGAAGGAAAGUGAUUAUGAAACAGAAGAUGGGAAAGAAAGCAAAAAAGAAAGAGAGAGGCGCGGGCGCCCUGCAGAUGGCAGCUGGGCUCUGCCGCCGGGCGCCUGCCUCCGCCCUGUCAGCCUUGCAGCCCGCCUUCCCCAGCUGAGGGGUCUGGCUGGCGUUCCUCGGGCUCUAAGGCUCAGCGCUGGCCUUGCUCGCUCCUCGGCCCUGGGCGUGGCUUCCUCCAGGGCUUCCCGCCUCCCCCCCCCGCCCCGCCCCGCGCGGCUCGAGGGGUCUUGGCGGGCGCCUCCCGGCUCAGCGCCGCGCUGCCUCCUGACCCCCGCCCGCCCCCGCCCCGGGAACUCUCUUGCGCAGAUCCUACGUUGUUCCGCGGCGCGGCAGUUCUGCAGACCCACGUGGAUUCCCGGCACUUCUCAAAAGGGAAGCGCGGGGAGCGGGCGGGGAGGAUGAAUGAGUCUUAAUUUUCCUGUUUCCUUUUAAUUAAAUCUUCAAGCCCCAAAUGCUGCUGCUGGUGGUGGGGCGGAGGGGGAGGAGGAGGAGAGCCUGUUCCCAAUUUUGCCCCUGGAACGGGAGACCGCCGCUCGGCCCCAUCAGCAUUGGCUCUGCGUCCAGCUGGAGAGCAAAGUAACUGCAGUAGAACCGUGUGGCCAGAUGGCCGAGGCAAGGCGCUGGAGGCGAGGAGGAAAACGGAGGGCCGACGGCCCGCAGGAACACGGCCCUGCUCUUUUUGUAUACGUGUGGAAUUCCCGGAACGCCUGUUGAGCGCAGACUGCGUCCCCGGGAACGCUGCCCCACCCAGAAGGUGACGCGCCCCUCCCAUCCGUCGGAACACGGCCAAGUUACAACCGGAGUACCGUUUGGUGGAAGCAAAGCCGAGCCGAGCCGAAAAAGAGCUGCAGUCCCCGAAUCCCAAGUGUUGGCGAUUUCCCCCUUUGGAUUGUUCAUACGCCGAGAAUUAAAAGGAAAAGGAAACGACAUCCGAAUAAUAUCCGCUUACCUUUUCUAAAUCUUUUUUUCUCUUUUCCGAACAGCGACUCGGGCUCCCUUUCCACUUGCCAGGACGUUCUCCAAGCUGAGGGCUAAAGUUUCCUGAAGCAACAGCUGGAAGGAAAGAAAAAGAAAAGAGAAUCCCGAAAGAAUUCAGUAUACUUUGCUUUCAGAAAAGAUGCAGGCAGCCUUUCAGCUAACGGAUUCCUCGCAGAGGGGUCUCUUUUCAGGAAGCAAACGCAGCUCCCAGAGAGAGGUUAUGAAGCAGCGUGGUGGAGAGAGAGGCAGCUUAAAAAAGUUGGGAUUUUUGCCAGGGUAAUUUUAAAAAAGAAGAAAAAUCCUGCUUCUUUUCCUUUUUUUUUUUUUUUUUUGGCCCAAAUAACUCCUCCUCCUCCGAUGACGGCAUCUCAAAAGGCAGGUCUGUUUCUGCGAUAGAAUCCAAAGUCUGUUUGGUGGCUGGGAAAAAAGUUGCCAGAAGAAGACAGAAAUGGGAGAGAAAUGUGAAAUUUUGCAAGGGAGGGAUCAGAGGGAGUUUGCAUUGUGUUGUGAGCGGCCAGAUUGUGUAAUGAGCCGCCCAGAAAUUUUUUUUUUGUUAUGGGGCGGCUAACAAAUAAAGUUGUUGUUAUUAUUUGCAAA